UUGUCAAUUACUGUCUAUAAACUAGUGAUACCUCACCUUGAACUCUUUGCUGCCUAGUACAUUUGACUGACAACCACAGUGAUAGACAUUAGUCCGACUACAUAAUAUAAAUACAUGCGUAAACCUUUAAGGUGUUUCUUUGCAAUUCGGUGGACUUCACAAUGAGAGGGAGCAGAAACAAUCAUUAGCACAAUUAAAUAAGAGGAGUGGUGCAUAGUUGCCUCAGAAAUGCUGCUUUUAUGAUCCUGUUUAAGUAGACAGGGUCGCCACUGUCGCCUCAGAACCAAGCUGCAGAUGGGUGACUUUUGGUGUCCUCUGGCCACUUUAAUUUAAUUUGUCCCAUUUACUUUUCUAAGCUUUUCAUCUUCCCACCAUUUUAAUACCAUCAGAGAUGGGGGGCUGCCCAUGACAUUCACACUUGACAUUAUCAAACACAAAAGCAUCACUCAUACACUUGAGCGCAUUACAAUGCAAGGGAAAAAAUAUAUCCCAAAGCCUCGGAAAUUAUCGCCUCAUACCUUCAGUGUAGGUGGGGUUUUUUUUUUUUUCUACUUGUUUUCUCCUGGAUGUGACUGUUUGGCUUCUGUGUGUUUGUAUAGGAUUCUAAAUUAUCUAGAAAAAAAAAUCCGCAAUCAAAACCAAACC
rnacentral:lncRNA from 1 species